rnacentral:lncRNA from 1 species
AAACUAUUACAUUUUUCCUUAAAUUAUCGAUUUUGAGAUUUAUUGUCGAAAUGAGAGCGAUUGUUGGUCAGGCUUUCCUAGCGUUAUGGUUGGGCGCCAUCACGACCGGGUUUGUGUCAUGACAUCUCUCCUUUAUUGUCAAGCGUCUCCAAUGGAAUUACAAUAGAUGAAAUCGACACCGAACAUACUCAAGCGACGGGGUUCAAACAGAAACGUAGCGACACGGGAACCUCAAAUGCAACCUCUAACGAAUUAAACCUCCGAUUCUCUACCUCAUUCGACUACUCUUGGUCAGUUUUGAACAAGAAUUAGAGAUUCAAGGGGUGGUUUGCUAGUGUGUUUUAAAAUCUGUUUCAGUUGGGCUUAUGAGCUAAAAUAAUAGUUGUGAAGGGUGAUUUGGGUGGUGCAAUGGUGGCUGUUUUUUCUGGAGUUUUUGGCCAAAUUUUAUAGUGGAAAAGAGCAGGCUGGAGACGGUGGAAAUCCGGCGAGGCGAAGGCGAAGCAGUGAGUUGACGGAAGUGGAUUUACAUGGUUUUGCUUU